rnacentral:tRNA from 1 species
AGGAUAAUAGUUUAAUUUAAACAUUUAAGUUGCAUUUAAAAGUAUUGGGCCCCCCCCAAUUAUCUUA